CUGCACGUUGUAUAGCUUAAACAUGCAGUCGAACGAACCUUCGGGUUAGUGGCGGACGGGUGAGUAACGCGUGAGAAUCUGCCCUCAGGAGGGGGAUAACGGUUGGAAACGACCGCUAAUACCCCAUAUGCCUACUGGUGAAAUGAAUUUCGCCUGAGGAUGAGCUCGCGUCUGAUUAGCUUGUUGGUGAGGUAAUGGCUCACCAAGGCUUCGAUCAGUAGCUGGUCUGAGAGGAUGAUCAGCCACACUGGGACUGAGACACGGCCCAGACUCCUACGGGAGGCAGCAGUGGGGAAUUUUCCGCAAUGGGCGAAAGCCUGACGGAGCAACGCCGCGUGAGGGACGAAGGCCUCUGGGCUGUAAACCUCUUUUCUCAAGGAAGAAGAUAUGACGGUACUUGAGGAAUAAGCCACGGCUAAUUCCGUGCCAGCAGCCGCGGUAAUACGGGAGUGGCAAGCGUUAUCCGGAAUUAUUGGGCGUAAAGCGUCCGCAGGCGGCUUUUCAAGUCUGCUGUUAAAGCGUGGAGCUUAACUCCAUCAUGGCAGUGGAAACUGAAAGGCUUGAGUAUGGUAGGGGCAGAGGGAAUUCCCGGUGUAGCGGUGAAAUGCGUAGAUAUCGGGAAGAACACCAGUGGCGAAGGCGCUCUGCUGGGCCAUUACUGACGCUCAUGGACGAAAGCCAGGGGAGCGAAAGGGAUUAGAUACCCCUGUAGUCCUGGCCGUAAACGAUGAACACUAGGUGUCGGGGGAAUCGACCCCUUUCGGUGUCGUAGCUAACGCGUUAAGUGUUCCGCCUGGGGAGUACGCACGCAAGUUUG
rnacentral:rRNA from 1 species